CACAGAAGGAGGAAAGGUCAUCCAGGACAGAUGCUGGCUGUGGCUCGAGGCAUCUGCAGCUUUCCUGGAAUGCUGGUUCUGCCCAGACCAUCCCAGGUGUUCAGCCCAGAUGAGAACCAGUUGAUCAGCCUUAUGUGAAGAAGGGUGGGUUCAGCUGUAAACCUAAAGCUCUACAUGACAUCUGCCCAGGCUCUUCCGGCUUUCAUAGUCUCUGGUGAGAAGUCCAGUGUAAUUAUGCAUUUAGCUGUGACCUUCCUGGCUGGCAACCUCCACCCUUCCUCAGGCGUUAUCUCCGGUCUAUUCAAGAUAACAAUACAGCCGAUUUCACCUCAGCGCAGCUCCAGCCGGAGACCAACAGAAAACUGUGUGACUAAGCAGACAACCCGCUGAGAAGAAGAUCUAUGAACUCUCGGCCAUUUGGGGGGCAGGGUGGUUUUUCCUAAGAUUAUAAAUAUUGGCUUAAUGAUAGUAAAGUCGGUCUCUAUGGGCAACUGUCCUCUUGACUCAUUUC